rnacentral:rRNA from 1 species
GAUGAACGCUGGCGGCGUGCCUAAUACAUGCAAGUCGAGCGAACGGACGAGAAGCUUGCUUCUCUGAUGUUAGCGGCGGACGGGUGAGUAACACGUGGAUAACCUACCUAUAAGACUGGGAUAACUUCGGGAAACCGGAUCUAAUACCGGAUAAUAUUUUGAACCGCAUGGUUCAAAAGUGAAAGACGUUCUUGCUGUCACUUAUAGAUGUAUCCUCGCUGCAUUAGCUAGUUGGCAAGGUAACGGCUUACCAAGGCAACGAUGCAUAGCCGACCUGAGAGGGUGAUCGGCCACACUGGAACUGAGACACGGUCCAGACUCCUACGGGAGGCAGCAGUAGGGAAUCUUGCGCAAUGGGCGAAAGCCUGACGGAGCAACGCCGCGUGAGUGAUGAAGGUCUUCGGAUCGUAAAGCUCUGUUAUUAGGGAAGAACAUAUGUGUAAGUAACUGUGCACAUCUUGACGGUACCUAAUCAGAAAGCCACGGCUAACUACGUG